GAUGAACGCUGGCGGCGUGCCUAAUACAUGCAAGUCGAGCGAACGGACGAGAAGCUUGCUUCUCUGAUGUUAGCGGCGGACGGGUGAGUAACACGUGGAUAACCUACCUAUAAGACUGGGAUAACUUCGGGAAACCGGAGCUAAUACCGGAUGAUAUUUUGAACCGCAUGGUUCAAAAGUGAAAGACGUUCUUGCUGUCACUUAUAGAUGGAUCCGCGCUGCAUUAGCUAGUUGGUAAGGUAACGGCUUACCAAGGCAAAGAUGCAUAGCCGACCUGAGAGGGUGAGCGGCCACACUGGAACUGAGACACGGUCCAGACUCAUACGGGAGGCAGCAGUAGGGAAUCUUCCGCAAUGGGAGAAAGCCUGACGGAGAAACGCCGCGUGAGUGAUGAAGGGCUUCGGAUCGUAAAACUCUGUUAUUAGGGAAGAACAUAUGUGUAAGUAACUGUGCACAUCUUGACGGUACCUAAUCAGAAAGCCGCGGCUAACUACGUG
rnacentral:rRNA from 1 species